GUGGAGCCCAUUGUUGUCUGUGGGGAAGGUACACAAAAAUGCUGGAGAAACUCAGCGGGUGCAGCAGCAUCUAUGGAGCGAAGGAAAUAGGCGACGUUUCGGGCCGAAACCCUUCUUCAGACCUUCUUCCGCCUGCCCGUUGUCUGUGGGGAAGUUGAUAACGAGUUAUGCAGGCAGUGAAACUGAACAGGACAACAGUCAAACUAGUUCGACGACUAGGGUGGGGGAGGGAUGGAGAGAGAGGGGAUGUAAGGGCUACUUUUAAAUGUCUCUGGCAGUGGUCAUUCCUGUUGGGUGUUCUGGUUUCCUCCCACACUCCAAAGACUUUAAGCCAGUGAAUCCUCAAGGCGAUGGUGGUUCCUUGAUCUGUACACGUAAUCAGCACUAUAUCUUGCUGGAGACCGACUUCGGGAGCUUCAACCGCGGGAGCCUGUGGACUUUAACAUCGUGGAGUUCGCGGUCUUUGGUUAGAGACCAACUUUGGGAGCUCCAGGCCACAGAAGCUUCAACCGCCCGACACGGAACUUCAACCGCCCGACACGGAACUUCAACCGCCCGACAUGGGAGCUUCGAUCGCUCUGACGUGGGGGCUUCGACCCCCCCCGACUGCGGAUGGUUCGACUGUCCCGACUGUGGGAGAACAGAGGAAGAAGAUUAGAAUUUAUUGCCUUCCAUCACAGUGAAGAAUGUGGGGAAUCCACUGUGGUGGAUGUUUAUGUUAACUUUUAUGUAGUCGUGUGUCUUGUUGCUUUUUUUAAUAUGGCUGUAUGGUAAUUCAGGUUUCACUCUACCUUAAUUGGCACAGGUGACAAUAAACUGACCUUUGAACCGCUACACUCUGCACACUGUUUCUUCUCUCUUCGCACUAACUAUUGUCCUCCUUAGGGUUUCGAUUGCACUCAUGUCUGGAGACUUUUUUUUGAAAGGGGUAGCAAACAAUACAAAGAUUUUCACUGUAUCUCGGUACAUGUGACAAUAAUAGACUAAUACCAAUUCCAAAACCAGGAUUGGCAGCAGGUAAGUACAGUUUUGCUCGUCGGACACCGGAAGACGUGUGGAUUCCAAGGGAAAGGGUGCGGGGUGGGGCAGAGAUCGUUCUAGAAGCCUCGCACCAGAGGCAGCUUCAAAGCCAAAUUGUAGAGAUUCCCUAAGGAAGAGGCAGCAGCUCAGUCUACCCUCUGGGUGUUGACCAAGGAGACCUUAUAUGGCCAAAUGUGGCAGGCGGGGCCAGCAUAGGUGGGGCAACUUUGUUCAUGUGGACAGGGUAGACUUAAGGCCUGUUUUCGUGCUCUGGGAGUUCUUGAUUCUUCAUCCAUCCAGUCUACCUGGAGGAACUUGCCAUGAAGUAAAGCUCAUGGAAACUGAACAGCAUCUUGGAUAUUUGCUUUUUAUUUCUUAUUGUUUAUGUAAGGAUGCAUAUAACACAUAGAGUAGAAGCAAGGAACUACAAAUGCUGGUUUGCCAAGGAAAGACACAAAUUAUUGGAGUAACUGUGAGGGUCAUGUUCAUAACUUCAUGUGAUAGGAGCAGAAUUAGGUCAUUCAGCCUAUCAAGUCUCCCACUCAAUCAUGGCAACAUCUCUGGAGAACAUGGACAGGAGACGAUUUGUUAGGUCCAGUCUGAAGAAACCGACUUGAAACGUCACCUAUUUCCUUUUCUCCAUAGAUGCUGCCUGACACGCUGACCUACCCCUUCGUUCCAGACUCUCCCAAUACUGGAAACAUCCUUCCCACGCCCUCUCUAUCUACUGUAGGUCUAUCAUGCAGUAUGUUUCAAUGAGGUCCACCCUCAUCCUUUUAAACUCCAACGGGUACAGGCCCAGAGCCAUCAAACCCUCCUCAUACAUGAACUCAACCAUCCACAGGAUCAUUCCUGUAACCCUCCUCUGGAUCCUCUCCAAAACUAGCACUUUGAUCCUCCUACAUGGUGCCCACAACAGCUCACAGUAUUCCAAAUGUGGCCUCACCAGCGCCUUAUAAAGCCUCAGCAUUACAUCCCUGCUUUUAUAUUCUACCCCCCUCGAAAUGAAUGCUAACAUUGCAUUUGCCUUCCAUACCACCGACUCAACCUGCAAAUUAACCUUUUGGGAGACCCUUUGCAGCUCCAAUUUCUGUACCCGCUCCCUAUUUAGAAAGUAGCCCAGGCCUUUAUUCCUCCCUGCUCAAUCACCAGAGCACGUGGGCUGGACUCCAUGAGCCCUACUGUAGCCGGUUUAGGAAGUCCCAGAGUGUGUGUCCAAGCCUCUGGGCUGACAAUAACAUAUUAUCAUCUAUCACCCGCACUUAAAUCAGUGCAGCCUCCCUUGCCUCGUAAAUUAAGCAGAGUGACUCAUACACAAUUUGUUUUCGAUGUGCAAAUAGGGUGAGAUUGCUGCGUGUUGGUGGGUAAACAUAUCCCCAACUGACUGGAGCCAGAGUGCGGGUGAGUGCAUCAGUUCAAUCUCCAGUGCUGUUUCGGAA